rnacentral:rRNA from 1 species
GAUUCCUACGGGGCGCAGCAGUGGGGAAUAUUGCACAAUGGGGGAAACCCUGAUGCAGCGACGCCGCGUGAGUGAAGAAGUAUUUCGGUAUGUAAAGCUCUAUCAGCAGGGAAGAUAAUGACGGUACCUGACUAAGAAGCUCCGGCUAAAUACGUGCCAGCAGCCGCGGUAAUACGUAUGGCGCCAGCGUUAUCCGGAUUUACUGGGUGUAAAGGGAGCGCAGACGGCAGUGCAAGUCUGGAGUGAAAGCCCGGGGCUCAAC